rnacentral:rRNA from 1 species
UGGGGAAUAUUGCACAAUGGGCGCAAGCCUGAUGCAGCCAUGCCGCGUGUGUGAAGAAGGCCUUCGGGUUGUAAAGCACUUUCAGCGAGGAGGAAGGUGGUGAGCUUAAUACGCUCAUCAAUUGACGUCACUCGCAGAAGAAGCACCGGCUAACUCCGUGCCAGCAGCCGCGGUAAUACGGAGGGUGCAAGCGUUAAUCGGAAUUACUGGGCGUAAAGCGCACGCAGGCGGUUUGUUAAGUCAGAUGUGAAAUCCCCGGGCUCAACCUGGGAACUGCAUUUGAAACUGGCAAGCUAGAGUCUCGUAGAGGGGGGUAGAAUUCCAGGUGUAGCGGUGAAAUGCGUAGAGAUCUGGAGGAAUACCGGUGGCGAAGGCGGCCCCCUGGACGAAGACUGACGCUCAGGUGCGAAAGCGUGGGGCAGCAAACAGGAUUAGAUACCCUGGUAGUCCACGCUGUAAAACGAUGUCNAUUUUGGAGGUUGUGCCCCUUGAGGCGUGGCUUCCGGAGCUAACGCGUUAAAUCGACCGCCUGGGGAGUACGGCCGCAAGGUUAAAACUCAAAGGAAUUGACGGGGUCU